rnacentral:rRNA from 1 species
UCUGCAACUCGACUCCAUGAAGCUGGAUUCGCUAGUAAUCGCGCAUCAGCCAUGGCGCGGUGAAUACGUUCCCGGGCCUUGUACACACCGCCCGUCAAGCCAUGGAAGCCGGGGGUGCCUGAAGUGCGUGACCGCAAGGAGCGCCCUAAGGUAAAACCGGUGACUGGGGCUAAGUCGUAACAAGGUACC